GGAUCUUUACUUGUUUGCUUCUCCGGUCGCACUCUGCUGUGCUCAGGGAUCUCUCCUGACAGGCUCCGGGGAACAUCCAGUGCUGGGGAUUGAAACUAGGUCAGCUGCCUGGUACUCCCUCCAGCCCCUAAGCCGACACAUUUUUGCUUGUUUAAUGCAUUCUGUGAGACUGUUUCCUACCAGUGACAUCCACCAGCCUGAGAAACGCUGUGAGGAAUGAAGAAGGGAUGCAGUGUCUGCUCUCGGGGACCUGCGGGCCCAGUAAGAGGACCUCAGACUCUGCCCAGCCCAGCGAGGGGGGUCCUGUGCGUUACAGGUACACUGCUCCGCGUGGCUCGCACCCAGCCGCCAUGGACAGCAACCGUGCAAAAUCGCCCCUAACCAGUUCCAUGUGGGCUGUCCAUCUGCAGUCUCACUGGAGAAAACAAAACAUCAUUUAAACAAAAGGUGGCCUUGAACUUAAUCUAUCAAAACACCAGUGAGUUUGAAAAGUUUUCAGUUCUGAACAAACUGCCAAGACAUGCAACAGCAAUUUUCCAAGUGGGGCCCUACACCUCGACGGCGGCAGAUGCACUCGCUCCUCAAACAUCUGCCCGUGCUCCGAGCAGGCGCGGUGUCGGCUCUGGAGGGCCGAAAACAAAAAAUUCUGAGAACUGAAGUCUCGGUGCGUUGAAGCUUCAUCUCUGGAACCAGA